rnacentral:rRNA from 1 species
UACGGGGGGGGCAAGCGUUGUUCGGAAUUACUGGGCGUAAAGGGCUCGUAGGCGGCCAACUAAGUCGGAUGUGAAAUCCCCAGGCUUAACCUGGGAACUGCAUCCGAUACUGGAUGGCUUGAAUCCGGGAGAGGGAUGCAGAAUUCCAGGUGUAGCGGUGAAAUGCGUAGAUAUCGGGAGGAACACCUGUGGCGAAAGCGGCGCACUGGACCACAACUGACGCUGAGGCGCGAAAGCUAGGGGAGCAAACAGG